rnacentral:rRNA from 1 species
GCGGACGGGUGAAGUAACACGUAGGCAACCUGCCCAUAAGACUGGGAUAACAUAGGGAAACUUAUGCUAAUACCGGAUAGGGUCUUCUCCCGCAUGAGAGAAGACGGAAGGGUGGCGCAAGCUACCACUUGUGGAUGGGCCUGCGGCGCAUUAGCUAGUUGGUGGGGUAACGGCCUACCAAGGCGACGAUGCGUAGCCGACCUGAGAGGGUGACCGGCCACACUGGGACUGAGACACGGCCCAGACUCCUACGGGAGGCAGCAGUAGGGAAUUUUCCACAAUGGACGAAAGUCUGAUGGAGCAACGCCGCGUGAACGAUGAAGGCCUUCGGGUUGUAAAGUUCUGUUGUCAGGGACGAACAAGUACCGUUCGAACAGGGCGGUACCUUGACGGUACCUGACGAGAAAGCCACGGCUAACUACGUGCCAGCAGCCGCGGUAAUACGUAGGUGGCAAGCGUUGUCCGGAUUUAUUGGGCGUAAAGCGCGCGCAGGCGGCUAUGUAAGUCUGGUGUUAAAGCCCGGGGCUCAACCCCGGUUCGCAUCGGAAAC